rnacentral:rRNA from 1 species
AGAGUUUGAUCCUGGCUCAGAAUCAACGCUGGCGGCGUGCCUAACACAUGCAAGUCGAACGCGAAAGCCCUUUCGGGGGUAAGUAGAGUGGCGUCCGGGUGAGUAACACGUGGGUAAUCUGCCUUCGGGUGGGGAAUAACUCGCCGAAAGGUGAGCUAAUACCGCAUAAUGCAGCGGCACCAAAUGGUGAUUAGUUGUUAAAGCGGGGGACCCUUCGGGGCCUCGCGCCUGAAGAGGAGCCUGCGGCAGAUUAGCUAGUUGGUGAGGUAAUGGCUCACCAAGGCUUCGAUCUGUAGCUGGUCUGAGAGGACGGCCAGCCACACUGGCACUGACACACGGGCCANACUCCUACGGGAGGCAGCAGUGGGGAAUUUUGGGCAAUGGGCGCAAGCCUGACCCAGCAACGCCGCGUGAGGGAGGAAAUCCUUCGGGAUGUAAACCUCACAAGCAAGGGAAGAGCGCUACAGGUCUAAUAAGCCUGUAGUCCGACGGUACCUUGCGUAAGCCACGGCUAACUACGUGCCAGCAGCCGCGGUAAUACGUAGGUGGCAAGCGUUGUUCGGAAUUAUUGGGCGUAAAGGGCGCGUAGGCGGCUUGUUAAGUCGGCUGUGAAAGCCUGGGGCUCAACCCCNGAGGGUCGGCCGAUACUGGCAAGCUAGAGUACGGAAUAGGUAGCUGGAAUUCCCGGUGUAGCGGUGAAAUGCG